rnacentral:rRNA from 1 species
AUGAACGCUGGCGGCAGGCUUAACACAUGCAAGUCGAACGGUAACAUAAAGAAGCUUGCUUCUUUGAUGACGAGUGGCGGACGGGUGAGUAAUGCUUGGGAAUCUAGCUUAUGGAGGGGGAUAACUACGGGAAACUGUAGCUAAUACCGCGUAAUAUCGAAAGAUUAAAGUGUGGGACCUUCGGGCCACAUGCCAUAGGAUGAGCCCAAGUGGGAUUAGGUAGUUGGUGAGGUAAAGGCUCACCAAGCCGACGAUCUCUAGCUGGUCUGAGAGGAUGACCAGCCACACUGGGACUGAGACUCGGCCCAGACUCCUACGGGAGGCAGCAGUGGGGAAUAUUGCGCAAUGGGGGCAACCCUGACGCAGCCAUGCCGCGUGAAUGAAGAAGGCCUUCGGGUUGUAAAGUUCUUUCGGUAGCGAGGAAGGCACUUAGUUUAAUAGACUAGGCGAUUGACG